CCUACGGGCGGCAGCAGUGGGGAAUAUUGGACAAUGGGGGGAACCCUGAUCCAGCCAUGCCGCGUGUGUGAAGAAGGCCCUCGGGUUGUAAAGCACUUUCAGUGAGGAAGAACGCCUGGUGGUUAAUACCCAUCAGGAAAGACAUCACUCACAGAAGAAGCACCGGCUAACUCCGUGCCAGCAGCCGCGGUAAUACGGAGGGUGCGAGCGUUAAUCGGAAUUACUGGGCGUAAAGCGCGCGUAGGUGGCUUGAUAAGCCGGUUGUGAAAGCCCCGGGCUCAACCUGGGAACGGCAUCCGGAACUGUCAAGCUAGAGUGCAGGAGAGGAAGGUAGAAUUCCCGGUGUAGCGGUGAAAUGCGUAGAGAUCGGGAGGAAUACCAGUGGCGAAGGCGGCCUUCUGGACUGACACUGACCCUGAGGUGCGAAAGCGUGGGUAGCAAACAGGAUUAGAUACCCCAGUAGUC
rnacentral:rRNA from 1 species